rnacentral:rRNA from 1 species
UGGGGAAUAUUGGACAAUGGGCGAAAGCCUGAUCCAGCAAUGCCGCGUGAGUGAUGAAGGCCUUAGGGUUGUAAAGCUCUUUUACCAGGGAUGAUAAUGACGGUACCUACAGAAGAAGCCCCGGCUAACUUCGUGCCAGCAGCCGCGGUAAUACGAAGGGGGCUAGCGUUGUUCGGAUUUACUGGGCGUAAAGCGCACGUAGGCGGAUUGGUCAGUUAGGGGUGAAAUCCUGGAGCUCAACUCCAGAACUGCCUUUAAUACUGCCAGUCUAGAGUCCGGAAGAGGUGAGUGGAACUCCUAGUGUAGAGGUGGAAUUCGUAGAUAUUAGGAAGAACACCAGUGGCGAAGGCGGCUCACUGGUCCGGUACUGACGCUGAGGUGCGAAAGCGUGGGGAGCAAACA